CACGUAGGGUGCGAGCGUUGUCCGGAAUUAUUGGGCGUAAAGAGCUCGUAGGCGGUGUGUCGCGUCGGCCGUGAAAACCUGCAGCUUAACUGUGGGCUUGCGGUCGAUACGGGCAUCACUGGAGUUCGGCAGGGGAGACUGGAAUUCCGGGUGUAGCGGUGGAAUGCGUAGAGAUCCGGAAGAACACCGGUGGCGAAGGCAGCUCUCUGGGACGGUACUGACACUGAGACGCGAAAGCGUGGGGAGCGAACAGG
rnacentral:rRNA from 1 species